rnacentral:rRNA from 1 species
ACUCCUACGGGAGGCAGCAGUGGGGAAUAUUGGACAAUGGGCGAAAGCCUGAUCCAGCAAUGCCGCGUGAGUGAUGAAGGCCUUAGGGUUGUAAAGCUCUUUUGCCAGGGACGAUAAUGACGGUACCUGGAGAAUAAGCUCCGGCAAACUUCGUGCCAGCAGCCGCGGUAAU